GCUGCAGAAUACGGAACAUGUGACUGAGGCUCCUGGGAGAGUUCAAGCUCCCAGGCCGCCCGAAGACCCACAUCUCAAAGAAGCAGGCUUCACUAGGUUUCACGCGGGUGAAUGUUAAGACAUGGUCUCUGAGAAGCAGCUCAUCUCUAAUGGCUGUGGGGUCAAAUACAUCCCCCAUUCGUGGUCUCCUAGACAAGAGUCAGGCCCUGCAUUCCUGAUGUUCCACGUGUUCUCCUGAACCCUGCCAAAUCACCCAUGGCUUAUCAGAGCCUGAGCCCUGGAAGCCCUAAAACCUGGGCUUGGCCAUCCACCCUCCACAGGCCAAUUAAACUCACAAGGAACAGUGAAAAGCAGAAAAGGGAAGUUGAUUCAGCGAGGCCACAUUAGGAAGAAGAGCAAAGAGUUCCAGCAACACCCACAUCUAUUUUUGGGGUCCUGAUGUGAGGUUCAGACUUAACUAGAGAAGUCCCGGCCAAGAUACUGUCCCAUCCAUCGCUGUCAAAUCAUUGUCUCCAAUCUCUCCUGCAAGAUGGUCUGACAAGUUCUCAGAAUCAUGUGAGAUCGCUUUCCCCAAACCACGUUCCUCCUCUGCCUGGCACCAGACUUCAGUCUUCCUUCUUUGUUCGUAUCAGGAAGAUCACACAGCCACAAGGAGGGCUGGAUCAAGAGAGAGGCUGUUUGUGUUCUGUGCAGCGCUGGGGACAUCAGGGAGGCUACGCACGAUGCUUGGAGCCCGGUGAACCCUUGAUGGCAGGUAUAGAGAGACAUGGCUGGCACCACGCUGCUUCAUGCUGAACUUUGGUUUGCUCUGGUCUGAUCAUUCCUCACUAUGUCCCCAUUCCUCCUUGUGAAGAGGAAUAUUCAUUAUGUGCUAUUGUGUACUAAAAGCUUGUAACUUUUAUUAUUAUUAUUAUUAUUAUUAUUAUUACAUAGGAGAAACUCUAGACUUUUGAAAAGUGUUGGGACUCUUACAGACUAUAGGGACGUUUAGUGACAGGUGGAAUUCAUCUUAUAAAAUGGCUUUGCGAUUAUAGGGACAAAAGAUGGGAAGUUUUGGCUUACAAGUAAUGCAUCUGGGUGUCAUAGUGUCAAGGGCUGGACUUGUAAUGGCUGACACUGAACUUGACGAGGUCUAGAAUCCCUUAGGGGCGAAUCUCUGAACAUGUUCAUAAGAGAGUUUUUAGAUUGGAUUAACUGGGGUGGUUUGAAUGAAAAAUAUCCCCCCCUAGGACUAGGUGUUAGAAUACUCGGUCUCCAGUUGCAGGUGCUGUUUGCAGUGGAUUAGGAGGUGUGGCCUUGGUAGAGGAAAUAUGUCACGGCUGGGGAUGAGACAGGCUUUGAUGUUUAAAAGCCACUCUCCCUUCCCAGUUCUCUCCUUACCCCCUUCUGAUUGCAGUGAGGUGAGUCCUUGGUUCUCAGCUUUCAACUCUGGCUGCCAAGACUGCUGCCUGCUGCCAUACUGUCUCCACCAUUAUGGACCCUAAACCUCUGGAACCAUAAGCCUCAAUAAAUCCUUCCUUCUAAAAGUU